rnacentral:rRNA from 1 species
CCUACGGGUGGCAGCAGUGAGGAAUAUUGGUCAAUGGCCGGAAGGCUGAACCAGCCAUGCCGCGUGAAGGUCAGUGCCCUAUGGGCGUUAAACUUCUUUUGUGUGGGAGCAAUAAUGGUCACGUGUGGCCAGACGAGAGUACCGUACGAAUAAGCAUCGGCUAACUCCGGGCCAGCAGCCGCGGUAAUACGGGGGGUGCAAGCGUUAUACGGAUUUAUUGGGUUUAAAGGGUGCGUAGGCGGGGAGGUAAGUCAGCGGUGAAAUUCCCCCGCUCAACGGGGUGAAGGGCCAUUGAUACUGGCGUGCUGGAGUGCGCAUGCCGUGGGAGGAAUGUGUGGUGUAGCGGUGAAAUGCAUAGAUAUCACACAGAACACCGAUUGCGAAGGCAUCUCACGGAUCCGCGAUUGACGCUGAUGCACGAAAGCGUGGGUAUCAAACAGGAUUAGAUACCCGGGUAGUC